UCCUUCAGCAGUCUUUCUUGUUUUCUUUCUGCUCAGCACAAAAUACAAAUUAAUUGAAUACGUAUUUUAAACACCAAUGCCUUCAACUAACUUAGUAUUGGCCUGCAAGCUCAAAGCCACCCACAGACACACACAGACACACACUAUGAGGGGCACACACACUACACAGAAGGUUACAAUAGUGUCUGCACAAUAUUCACUUCCUGUGUGGCAAUCAUUUCUGGUGUGCGAGUGUGUGAGGGGGAGGCCUGGCCAGCUUUAAUCUUGACAUUUCACUUGCUUGUUAGGUACAGAGUCUUACGCAGGUAUUCGAUAAUUGCUCUCAUCCAUAUAUGCUCCUUUUUGUUACCUUAGUAACACAAUUAAAGCUGUAGUUUAGAAUUUAAGAUACUUAUAACAGGACUACACAGCAGAUACAGAUUCUCACUACCGGUGGGAUGGAGGAUUUUUGUAAAUAUUUGGGCAUCACAAGGACUUUUUCUCUGAUAUGUUGCAUGUUCUGGAUAUUCUCACCGGCAGAAGGAAACAACAUCUCCUGGGUGGUUGGCAGCAAUGUGACCCUGCACUG